rnacentral:rRNA from 1 species
UACGUAGGGGGCUAGCGUUGUUCGGAUUUACUGGGCGUAAAGGGCUCGUAGGCGGCUUAUUAAGUCAUCUGUGAAAUCUCCGAGCUUAACUCGGAACUGUCAGCUGAUACUGAUGUGCUAGAGUGCGGAAGGGGCAAUCGGAAUUCUUGGUGUAGCGGUGAAAUGCGUAGAUAUCAAGAGGAACACCUGAGGUGAAGACGGGUUGCUGGGCCGACACUGACGCUGAGUGCGCGAAAGCCAGGGGAGCAAACGGG